ncrna:synthetic construct SAM-I/IV variant riboswitch
GGAUCACGAGGGGGAGACCCCGGCAACCUGGGACGGACACCCAAGGUGCUCACACCGGAGACGGUGGAUCCGGCCCGAGAGGGCAACGAAGGUCCGA